GACGAACGCUGGCGGCGUGCCUAAUACAUGCAAGUAGAACGCUGAAGGAGGAGCUUGCUCUUCUGGAUGAGUUGCGAACGGGUGAGUAACGCGUAGGUAACCUGCCUGGUAGCGGGGGAUAACUAUUGGAAACGAUAGCUAAUACCGCAUAACAGUAGAUGUUGCAUGACAUUUACUUAAAAGGUGCAAUUGCAUCACUACCAGAUGGACCUGCGUUGUAUUAGCUAGUUGGUGGGGUAACGGCUCACCAAGGCGACGAUACAUAGCCGACCUGAGAGGGUGAUCGGCCACACUGGGACUGAGGCACGGCCCAGACUCCUACGGGAGGCAGCAGUAGGGAAUCUUCGGCAAUGGACGGAAGUCUGACCGAGCAACGCCGCGUGAGUGAAGAAGGUUUUCGGAUCGUAAAGCUCUGUUGUAAGAGAAGAACGAGUGUGAGAGUGGAAAGUUCACACUGUGACGGUAUCUUACCAGAAAGGGACGGCUAACUACGUG
rnacentral:rRNA from 1 species